rnacentral:rRNA from 1 species
CCUUCGGGGGGCAGCAGUUGGGAAUAUUGGACAAUGGGGGCAAGCCUGAAUCAGCCAUUCCGGGUGGGUGAAGAAGGCUUUUGGGUUGUAAAGCCCUUUUGUUGGGAAAGAAAAGCAUUCGGUUUAUUCCCGGGUGUUUUGGCGGUACCCAAAGAAUAAGCCCCGGGUAAAUUUGGGCCCGCCACCGCGGUAAUUAGAAGGGGGCCAGGGUUUCUUGGAAUUUCUGGGGGUAAAGGGGGGGUAGGUGGUGGUUUAAAUUCGUAGUGAAAACCCCGGGGUUCACCUGGGAAUUGCAGUGGAUACUGGAUCACUUGAGUUUGGUAGAGGAUAGUGGAAUUUUCGGUGUAGCAGUGAAAUGCGUAGAGAUCGGAAGGAACAUCCGUGGCGAAGGGGACUAUCUGGGCCAACACUGACACUGAGGCACGAAAGCGUGGGGAGCAAACAGGAUUAGAUACCCAGGUAGUUCAAGCCAUAAAAAGGAAGCCCCCGGGCCGGGGGGGGAACCCGACCCCAUUGGCG